GCAGAGUAGGUUCGUAUGCGUUAAGUGCCCAUGGGACAGAGAGUUGCUCAGGGGACGAAAAGCGCCGCGUCAGGCGGGCGCUUGCGGUAUGCGGGCCGCAUCUCGCUGC
rnacentral:ncRNA from 1 species